UGUUUUCUCCUCCCGGGAAGGAGGAGGAAAACGGAGAGAAAGGGAAAGGGAAAGAAGCGGCGCCGGCCGCGUCUCCCGGUGCCCGCCGGCUGCGCAGGAGCGAGGCGGGAGGCGAGAGGAGCCGGAAUCACUUUUUCCUGCUGGUCUGAGGUAAAUAGGAAAACCCAGUUGCUCCGAAAGCUUCAUUUGUUCUGGUGACCUUGUUAAUCAAGCUUCAAGAGUGGGAGGAGUUUGAAAUGUACACACUUUGCUGGUGCUUUCUGUGUCCUCCGUGAAGCCAUGGGUUCCAAUCCUGCCACAGGCCAUCAGUCUCCAGUCACUUCCUUCGGCCACCCUGCCCACACCCCUGCUCCCGCCCCAAAGGCAGGCAGCAAGAACGAGCCCCGAG